UUCAAUUGAAGAGUUUGAUCAUGGCUCAGAUUGAACGCUGGCGGCAGGCCUAACACAUGCAAGUCGAGCGGUAACAGGAAAGCGCUUGCGCUUUUGCUGACGAGCGGCGGACGGGUGAGUAAUGUCUGGGGAUCUGCCCGAGGG
rnacentral:rRNA from 1 species